rnacentral:snRNA from 1 species
GUGCUCACCUCGGCAGCCCAUAUACUAAAAUUGGAACGAUACAGAGAAGAUGGCCCUUGCUCAAGGAUGACACGCAAAUUCGUGAAGUGUUCCAUAUUUUU